rnacentral:tRNA from 1 species
CGGAGCGUGGCGCAGUCUGGCAGCGCAUCUGCUUUGGGAGCAGAGGGUCGCUGGUUCGAAUCCAGUCGCUCCGACCA